AACGAACGCUGGCGGCAGGCCUAACACAUGCAAGUCGAGCGCCCAGCAAUGGGAGCGGCGCACGGGUGCGUAACGCGUGGGAAUAUGCCCUUAGGUACGGGACAACAUCGGGAAACUGAUGCUAAUACCGUAUAAUGACUCCGGUCCAAAGAUUUAUCGCCUAGGGAUUAGCCCGCGUCUGAUUAGCUAGUUGGUGAGGUAAUGGCUCACCAAGGCAACGAUCAGUAGCUGGUCUGAGAGGAUGAUCAGCCACACUGGAACUGAGACUCGGUCCAGACUCCUACGGGAGGCAGCAGUGAGGAAUAUUGGACAAUGGGGGAAACCCUGAUCCAGCCAUGCCGCGUGAGUGAUGAAGGCCUUCGGGUUGUAAAGCUCUUUUAACGGUGAAGAUAAUGACGGUGGCCGUAGAAAAAGCCCCGGCCAAAUUCGUGCCAGCCGCCGCAGUAAAAC
rnacentral:rRNA from 1 species